GGUCUCGUAGUGUAGCGGUUAACACGCCUGCCUGUCACGCAGGAGAUCGCGGGUUCGAUUCUCCGUCGAGACCG
rnacentral:tRNA from 1 species